GUGGGCCAGGCGAAGGUGCCAUAGCGCGCGGCCCAGGCGCUGCUGCUGCAGCAGGAGCUGGCCCGGGGGCUCCCCGGCGCCGCCGUUUACAGGCGAGCGCAGGCCCAUGUUCUCGAAGUAGUGAGCCAGGAAGGCGAUCGGCUCCUCGGGCCGCGCCUCCAGCACCUUCAGCAGGGCCGCACGUAGCAUUUCCGUCACGCCGACCUGCCGCAGGAAGUCCUCCUCGCUCUCGGCCGCCCCCGCCGCCCGGGAUACCGACUGGCGGCCGCUGUCCGUGAAACCGGCCGGCGGUGGUACCGCUUGCCGCCGCUUCUCCACUGCCGCCAUCUUCGCUGAGGGCAGCGGGACCGGAAGCACCGCCAUAUUCCACUGUGCGCUAGAGCCCCCCCAAGGCGGCCAUCUUGAUUAAGGGCAGAGGGCACCGGUAUCCCGCUGGGAGACUUUGGGAAGUGACAAGGGCUUGCCUCUCCUGCCUCAAUCUCCGCAUCUGGAUGAAGGGCUUGGACCAGAACCCCUCCAAGCCCCUUCCCUGGACCACUCUGCUGGAGUUUCACUCUUGUCGCCCAGGCUGGAGUACAGUGGUGCUAUCUCGGCUCACUGCAACCUCCACCUCACGGGUUCAAGUGAUUCUACUGUGACGGCCUUCCAAGUAGGUGGGACCACAGGCAUGCGCCACCACGCCCGGCUAAUUUUUGUAUUUUUAGUAGAGACGAGGUUUUGCCAUGUUGGCCAGGCUGGUCUCAAACUCCUGACCUCAGGUGAUCCACCUGCCUCGGCCUCCCACAGUGCUGGGAUUACAGGCGUGAGCCAACGCGCCCGGCCUUGUUUUAUGUUUCAUACGAUUUAUUUU
rnacentral:lncRNA from 1 species